rnacentral:lncRNA from 1 species
GCAAAUACCGACUUCAUUUACUUAAAAUAACUUUUCAAUAACUUAAAAGAAAUGCUCAUCAUGAAGGAAUUCUACCGUAGCAAGUUUUUAUCAUUUUGAAAGACUGGCAACUGGAGGUGGCUGCAUACUUGGAACGAAAUUUGUUUGUGUGCACAUACAUACGAUCUACGCUGAAGUAUAAAUGCUAGUGGACUUUUUUCUCUAAGUUUCUGGACUUGUUGAACAAGCUUUCUUUGUUUGGACACCCCUGUGGGGGAAUGAAGGAAACUAGCAUAGAAUCGCUUUUUUUUUUUUUCUGUAGCCUAGAACUUCUUGUUAAAAGUUCUCUUUCCCUCAUUUCAUACACACAUACCUGCAUACAUUCUCCCCGCCCCCCAACAAUAACCCUCUUCCUUUCACUUCAGUACCUACAGACUUGCCGGUUAUCAGAAGACACGACUCUCCCUAAUACGACUUCAAAACUCUAACAAUUCAAAGUAAUGACGUGGAAAAUUCAAGAUAUAAAUAUUGGUUUUUCAUUGGUGUGGAAUCACAAAUUUCCUCAAAUCUUUAGCAGAGAUGACCCUUUACAAAAGACAUGAUAGUUUAUACUGCUUAAGAAUAUGACUAAUUACUUUUCAAUUCGCAUUCGUGUGUCAGUAGGGCCCCCUCUGGGAUGGUGUAAACUUAUUCAGCUUCAAAUGCAGCCCAGUAUCCUGCCCUAAGUUCCAGAGGACCAUUUUCCACAUGAAAAGUCUUACGGAUAGACAAACUUCCAUUCAAGCCAAUGUCAAGUUUUCAUUGCAAGAAAGUAGCAGCCGUGUUUAAGAGUUCGCUCCAAAUGCUCAUCUUCUUCUUCGGCCCUGGAUGUCAGACAAACAGGACAAACAGGAAAC